UCGGGCAAACAUGGAAUCAACACACGCCGCACCAUACCUUUCUUUGACCUUAUGUCCAACAAAGGUCUCUCUUUCUCUAUUUCUCAUCAUAUUUUGACACAUCUUCAUCAUCCCUUGUGAAUUUUUCUGAGAGGUACCAUUGGAAUUGAGGGAGAUAAAAGAUGGUCCAUGAUUAAACGACGAUUAUAUAAUUGAUUUGAGGCGAUUGUGGACUCCCGGAAAGUCGAGACUCGAGAUGGCUGUGGAGCCAAGUCUUUUGGCGCCCUCUUCAUCCGGAGGAAUUUGAUUGGGCUAACAAGGCUUCAACAUUGGGUCCACAACUGGAGCCCUUUAAUUCCCGCCAUUGCAUUCACAGUAGCACCAUUGGCACCCCGGGAUAGUGUUAGGGCGUUAUCAAAUCGAUGUAGAGAGAGGGCACCACUCCACUACACCCAUCCUAACAGGGGCUAAGGUUCCAAAAUGAAGAAGUGAGAUCGAGACAAAUGAUGACCGAAGAUAGAAGACAGCUAUUGCCAAUGGGAGUCUGUUGGUGCACGGAUAGUGUGUUACGCAUGUUACAUGGGGUUUAG
rnacentral:lncRNA from 1 species